AGAUUGAACGCUGGCGGCAUGCCUUACACAUGCAAGUCGAACGGUAGAGUAGCAAUACUCGAGAGUGGCGAACGGGUGAGUAAUAUAUCGGAACGUGCCCAGUCGUGGGGGAUAACGUAGAGAAAUUUACGCUAAUACCGCAUACGAUCUACGGAUGAAAGCGGGGGAUCGCAAGACCUCGCGCGAUUGGAGCGGCUGAUAUCAGAUUAGGUUGUUGGUGAGGUAAAGCUCACCAAGCCGACGAUCUGUAGCUGGUUUGAGAGAACGACCAGCCACACUGGGACUGAGACACGGACCAGACUCCUACGGGAGGCAGCAGUAAGGAAUAUU
rnacentral:rRNA from 1 species